CAGAGCAUAACUUAAGAAAGUGCCUCGCUUACACCGAAUUGAUGUCCGUUAAACCCAGACUGCCCUGAG
rnacentral:tRNA from 1 species